UAAUGUUAGCACAAAUGGCGUGUGACUUAUCCCUGUAAUGGACUUUUCUUGUGAUUUACUUGAUGAUAUAUUGCUUGUGUGCUAAUCACCUACAGAGGUCCACGUAAAUUAUGAUCAAACAAGAAUAGCGGUUUUUCGGAGGGAAGCAGCUUGUUGUGGUGGCAGCCCGGCUGACGCCAACGACCCGCACCUGCAUCUCGUCAACCUCCUCCUCUGCCUGCCACACCUGCCAGCAAUCAACUCUACCUCUGCCAGUAGGCUACUUCAACCCCGGUUCUCCACACUACCUCUGUGCUUGAUCGUCAUUGCUCCAAACCUGGUGCCACUCCAUCACUCAAGCUCUUGCACGCAUUCAGCAUCUUGUUUAUUUCCCUGUGCUUUGUCCCCACAGUGUCACUAACCCUGUCUUUCCGUCUGUUUCUCCCCAGGUUCACUCACCCUCGUCCUCCGUCUGGUCAGCUGGGCUCGCUCACCUGCCCUCUCCCCUCGGGCUUCCCCCCACGGCAUCCUCCCAGUCCUCCCGUGCCUCCUCUCUUCCUCACUCCCCAGUGUCCCCAGGCUCUCUGGUCUCAGUCUCCUUGGUUCCCCGUACCUGCGUUUCCCCAGCAAUCACCUCUCCCUCGACUCCAGUCCCUCACCCCUUUUUUCCCAAUAAAACCCAUUAACCUGGAA